rnacentral:lncRNA from 1 species
UUAUAUAAUAAAUGGAUUUUGGGUAUGGUUCUAAAGUAUAUUCUAUGUGGGGUUUUUUUUAUAAAUUCAGGUCCUAUUUUUGGUAUAUUAGUGAAGCUCCCUUGAUUUUUAUCUUUCAUGAAACAUGAUUGCUAAUAGUGCUGCUCCUACAUCUGGAAAAAAGUGAAAUGGGUUUCUACGUUUGGGGAUGAUUGCACACUUAGACAAAAGUGGUUUGGAUAGGUGUAUUGAUUAACAUGAAGCUCAU